rnacentral:rRNA from 1 species
AAGCCGACAGCUUGCUGUUGGUGGAUGAGUGGCGAACGGGUGAGUAACACGUGAGUAACCUGCCCCUGAUUUCGGGAUAAGCCUGGGAAACUGGGUCUAAUACCGGAUACGACCAUCUGACGCAUGUUGGGUGGUGGAAAGUUUUUCGAUCGGGGAUGGGCUCGCGGCCUAUCAGCUUGUUGGUGGGGUAAUGGCCUACCAAGGCGACGACGGGUAGCCGGCCUGAGAGGGCGACCGGCCACACUGGGACUGAGACACGGCCCAGACUCCUACGGGAGGCAGCAGUGGGGAAUAUUGCACAAUGGGGGAAACCCUGAUGCAGCGACGCAGCGUGCGGGAUGACGGCCUUCGGGUUGUAAACCGCUUUCAGCAGGGAAGAAGCGAGAGUGACGGUACCUGCAGAAGAAGUACCGGCUAACUACGUGCCAGCAGCCGCGGUAAUACGUAGGGUACGAGCGUUGUCCGGAAUUAUUGGGCGUAAAGAGCUCGUAGGUGGUUGGUCACGUCUGCUGUGGAAACGCAACGCUUAACGUUGCGCGUGCAGUGGGUACGGGCUGACUAGAGUGCAGUAGGGGAGUCUGGAAUUCCUGGUGUAGCGGUGAAAUGCGCAGAUAUCAGGAGGAACACCGGUGGCGAAGGCGGGACUCUGGGCUGUAACUGACACUGAGGAGCGAAAGCAUGGGGAGCGAACAGGAUUAGAUACCC